rnacentral:rRNA from 1 species
UGAGGAACAUGACCUUCGGCGGGGGAUAGCCGGCCCAACGGCCGGGUAAUACCGCGUACGACUUUUGGGGACAUCCCCGACUGGUGAAAGCAGCAAUGCGCCGAUGGAGUGCCUCGCGGCCUAUCAGCUAGUUGGUGAGAUAACGGCUCACCAAGGCGACGACGGGUAGCUGGU